GGAGAGGCGGCCCCGCUCUCCCUGUCCUCGGCCUUCGGGGUGGGGGUUACGGCCCUUCCCAGCCCAUUCCGCUGCUCCGAUGCCGCCCUGCCGGCUGCGCCGCGUACGCCUCCUGGGGUCGCCUCUCUGCGGUCACCCAGGACCCGUCCCAAGGGCUCCGAGCAGCCCAUCGCUGCGGAACUCCUCUCCCCUCAAAACCCCGUCCUUCCGGGCACACAGCAAAUCUCUCUCCUGCUCCCUCCGUUCGGUUUUAGCACCGAUCGGGAGUAUGCUGGUGGGGACGCAACCUAUGGCGACAGACUUCGCUAACUUCUUUUUUUUCGCCCCGCUUUCCUCAAAAAAUUGGUGUUUUCCUCCUCCUUUACUCGGCUGUUGAGUUCGCCUAUCAGGGACAAUAUCACUAGUUCUUCGCUUUCCCCCCUCUCCCACCCCCAGCCCACCCCCUACGCCGUACGGCAAAACUAGGCGAGAAGUGUCAUUUGUCCGAGGUGUAUCACACGCACGUAGUAUCCGACACAUCGAAGACGAAGCAGUCAGACCAAGAGCUUUUAUCUGUCACCAGGACAUCUCUCUGGUGGAAGAGCAGCCCCCGCUGCCAGGUGCCGCACCGGCUGAGCGUGUGCGCCCACGAUCCUUUCGCCAUUCCCCACCCUGUUUCCAGUUUGUUUCUUUCCCACCCUGACUUCUCGCGGAGCCUGGGAAAGCUUCUGCUGUUUAGGUUCUGUCUGUGUCUCAGGCAAGACGUUUUAACACAAAUUUGAGCGGGGCUGGGGCAAAAGAAUUGUUUAGACUGGCGUCAUUUUGACAAGGUCAUCCGUCAUCUUCUGUAUAGAUUGAUAACACCUAAGUUAAAGGCAAACACAAGUAGGGAAAAAAAAAAAAAACCAAAAACAACCCAACAACCCCGAUUGUUACGGCUUACGGAGUCGGCUGUACAACGUUCUCAAUGUCUCUGAUCGACCCCCAGAGCGUAAGACGCGAUGGAUUUUCAGCCGCCUCGCCCCACCUCUGUGCGCUUCGUGAAGCUGCGGCUCCCGGCGGUGGGCUGCGGGGCAGCGGCCGCUGCUUUGCUCCGCGGGGAACCGCGUUGGCGCAGUGCCCUCCUCCUUGGCCACCUCCUGACCGACUUGCUUCUGUUAUGACACCGAAAUAACCAGAAUGCCUAACCCUGGAAAAGAAAGUCAAACAGCAACCUAUAGACCAUCGUAAGACAAAUUUUUCUUCCAGUGCAGCAGGAGCAUCUUCCUAUCAAAAUACACAGCUCUGGGGGGCAAGAUCCAAGAGUCCUGGAUAUUAUUUUGCUGUCACAGCCUAUUGCACAAAGUACACAGCAUGUAUUGCAGUAAUAACUCCCAAUGAAUGAGUGACAUUCUUACAGAGAGGAUGAAGCAAAAGGAUGACAGCUUCAUUUAAAACAUGAGAAAAACUAUAUAGUAGUCUUAUGAACCCCAACUGGUGGUAGCCACAGAACUGAAGCAUUCAGGCUGUUUGUUUUAUGAAUUUCACAGUAGAAACUCAUUCAGUGGAAAGUGGUCCAAAAGUUAAUCAGUUUUCCCUGCCGGUUCCCUUGAGUUUGAUGAAAAGAGUCUUUGGGUCUUUGGUAAGCCCACUGAAAGUCCUGUUUGUAGCAGCUAGAUCAUGAAGUACAGUGUUGUUCUUGGAGCUGACUCUGAGGCUGGGACAUUUAAGAUUUGGGGGUUUAACUGCAUGUUGCAAAAUCUUUUCUUAAUUACCUCCACAGAAGUUUUGCCUUUCUUUUCUUUUAUGCUCUUUUUUUUUUUUUUUCCUGUAUUAAUUACUAGCAGAGAAUUGUUCAGUUACUGUUGCGUGAUGAAGAAGGGGAUACCACAUCACUGUUCUAUUUUGGGCAACUGAGCAAUUUGCUACACCCUCAAUGGCUUCAGAGUUUAUUUUUGUAAGAUUAAAGACAGAGUGCAUAUGGCAAUAAUUCUGAUAUUUCUUCUGGUGGAUGAAUCAUACAACACAGUUGGACACGCUGGGAAAUCACAUUAUGAUGUAUUUUAUCAACAGAAAGGGCCAUACGCAGCAGGUGACAGCAGUUCAUACCCAUGGUGAAAACAGGUUAAUGGAAGCAGAGGACGGUCGAGGCUGGCAGGGAGCUGUGUGUCCACGUGGCCUAAGCCAUGAUGAAGCAGGGACACGCAGAGCAGGGUGCCCAGCAUCACUCCAGGCAGCUUCUGAACACCUCCAGAAGGAGGAGACCCCGCAGCCUCUGGGCAGCCUGUGCCAGGGUUUGAUCACCCCUACAGCACAGAAGUGUUGCCUGGUG
ensembl:lncRNA